rnacentral:ncRNA from 1 species
AUACAUGCUUUGAUUGGAAUGAGUAGUGCCUAUUUCCCUGUUCUUAGAGAGUCAAUGGCCGGUGCAAAUUGACACAAAAAUAGACGCGAAUUACCUCCAGGAGCAUUCUUUGUGAAAGAAUUUGAUUCGAUUAGCAAAGAACGGAUGAGCCGUUACCCAUAAUGAGUGGAAGAGUAUAAUUAAUUAUAUUCUUCAAUUAGGGUGGUACCACGUGCUUACAAGCAACCACGUCCCUUUU